rnacentral:rRNA from 1 species
GGGCAGAGGGAAUUCCCGGUGUAGCGGUGAAAUGCGUAGAUAUCGGGAAGAACACCAGUGGCGAAGGCGCUCUGCUGGGCCAUUACUGACGCUCAUGGACGAAAGCCAGGGGAGCGAAAGGGAUUAGAUACCCCUGUAGUCCUGGCCGUAAACGAUGAACACUAGGUGUCGGGGGAAUCGACCCCCUCGGUGUCGUAGCUAACGCGUUAAGUGUUCCGCCUGGGGAGUACGCACGCAAGUGUGAAACUCAAAGGAAUUGACGGGGGCCCGCACAAGCGGUGGAGUAUGUGGUUUAAUUCGAUGCAACGCGAAGAACCUUACCAGGGUUUGACAUCCUGCGAACCUCUUAGAAAUUUGAGGGUGCCUUCGGGAAUGCAGUGACAGGUGGUGCAUGGCUGUCGUCAGCUCGUGUCGUGAGAUGUUGGGUUAAGUCCCGCAACGAGCGCAACCCACGUUUUUAGUUGCCAGCAUUUAGUUGGGCACUCUAGAAAGACCGCCGGUGAUAAACCGGAGGAAGGUGUGGAUGACGUCAAGUCAUCAUGCCCCUUACACCCUGGGCUACACACGUACUACAAUGCUACGGACAAAGGGCAGCAAACUCGCGAGAGCUAGCAAAUCCCAUAAACCGUGGCUCAGUUCAGAUCGUAGGCUGCAACUCGCCUACGUGAAGUAGGAAUCGCUAGUAAUCGCAGGUCAGCAUACU